GGAGAGGUGGCAGAGUGGUCGAAUGUACCUGACUCGAAAUCAGGAGUACGGUUUCCGUACCGUGGGUUCGAAUCCCACCCUCUCCGCCA
rnacentral:tRNA from 1 species